rnacentral:rRNA from 1 species
UACGUAUGGUGCAAGCGUUAUCCGGAUUUACUGGGUGUAAAGGGAGCGCAGGCGGCACGGCAAGCCUGAUGUGAAAGCCCGCGGCCCAACCGCGGGACUGCAUUGGGAACUACCGGGCUGGAGUGCCGGAGAGGUAGGCGGAAUUCCUAGUGUAACGGUGAAAUGCGUAGAUAUUAGGAGGAACACCAGUGGCGAAGGCAGCCUACUGGACGGUGACUGACGCUGAGGCUCGAAAGCGUGGGGAGCAAACAGG